UUGAACGCUGGCGGCAGGCCUCACACAUGCCAGUCGAGCGGAUGAAGGGAGCUUGCUCCUGGAUUCAGCGGCGGACGGGUGAGUAAUGCCUAGGAAUCUGCCUGGUAGUGGGGGAUAACGUCCGGAAACGGGCGCUAAUACCGCAUACGUCCUGAGGGAGAAAGUGGGGGAUCUUCGGACCUCACGCUAUCAGAUGAGCCUAGGUCGGAUUAGCUAGUUGGUGGGGUAAAGGCCUACCAAGGCGACGAUCCGUAACUGGUCUGAGAGGAUGAUCAGUCACACUGGAACUGAGGCACGGUCCAGACUCCUACGGGAGGCAGCAGUGGGGAAUAUUGGACAAUGGGCGAAAGCCUGAUCCAGCCAUGCCGCGUGUGUGAAGAAGGUCUUCGGAUUGUAAAGCACUUUAAGUUGGGAGGAAGGGCAGUAAGUUAAUACCUUGCUGUUUUGACGUUACCAACAGAAUAAGCACCGGCUAACUUCGUG
rnacentral:rRNA from 1 species